rnacentral:rRNA from 1 species
UACAGAGGGGGCAAGCGUUGUUCGGAAUUACUGGGCGUAAAGGGCGCGUAGGCGGCCUUCUAAGUCGAACGUGAAAUCCCCGGGCUCAACCCGGGAACUGCGUCCGAUACUGGAAGGCUUGAAUCCGGGAGAGGGAUGCGGAAUUCCAGGUGUAGCGGUGAAAUGCGUAGAUAUCUGGAGGAACACCGGUGGCGAAGGCGGCAUCCUGGACCGGCAUUGACGCUCAUGCACGAAAGCGUGGGGAGCAAACAGG